rnacentral:rRNA from 1 species
AAUUUUGGACAAUGGGCGCAAGCCUGAUCCAGCCAUGCCGCGUGCGGGAAGAAGGCCUUCGGGUUGUAAACCGCUUUUGUCAGGGAAGAAACGCGCUGGGCUAAUACCCCGGCGUAAUGACGGUACCUGAAGAAUAAGCACCGGCUAACUACGUGCCAGCAGCCGCGGUAAUACGUAGGUGGCAAGCGUUGUCCGGAUUUACUGGGCGUAAAGAGCGCGCAGGCGGUCGGUCAAGUCGCGUGUGAAAGCCCCCGGCUCAACUGGGGAGGGUCACGCGAUACUGUUCGACUCGAAGGCAGGAGAGGGUAGUGGAAUUCCCGGUGUAGUGGUGAAAUGCGUAGAUAUCGGGAGGAACAUCUGUGGCGAAGGCGACACCCUGGACCAGCACUGACACUGAGGCACGAAAGCGUGGGGAGCAAAC